rnacentral:rRNA from 1 species
CACGUAGGGUGCGAGCGUUGCCCGGAAUUAUUGGGCGUAAAGAGCUCGUAGGCGGUGUGUCGCGUCGGCCGUGAAAACCUGCAGCUUAACUGUGGGCUUGCGGUCGAUACGGGCAUCACUGGAGUUCGGCAGGGGAGACUGGAAUUCCUGGUGUAGCGGUGAAAUGCGCAGAUAUCAGGAGGAACACCGAUGGCGAAGGCAGCGCGCUGGGACGGUACUGACGCUGAGGCGCGAAAGCGUGGGGAGAAAACAGG